GCUCCUGGUCGUGGGGCUUGCGCAUCUGCAGCCAGACGGCCCACCGGAACACCGACUGCCCCAUGAGGCCGCGCUACUUCGGGGUCCACGGGCGCUGCGGCUGCAGCCACUUCCUCAAGAACAGCUUCGGCUGCUGAGCGCGCUCCGGCUUCAGCGGCUCCGCCGGCGCCUUCCGCCUCAGCUCGUACUACAACGACCGGAACUACAGCGCCACCUCGUGGCACGCGAGCAUGAGCACCACCUGCAUCACGUUUGGCCGCCGCUGCAGGAAGUGUUACAGCAUCGCAGAGAGGGUCCCGUCUUGACCGACAACCACCGGUGCCACGACGACGGAAAGCACCUUGUCCACGAACAGAUGCGACGGUAACCCGUACAUGAGCAUCUAGUCGUCGUCGAGAGGUAAGAGCAUUCUGGUUGGACUUUUAUCAACACAGUAUCAUAUAUCAUGAGGAUAUAUGCAUGUUCUAAUUUUUACCAUUACGAUUUUAGACUCAGUCUAAAAAUUUAGUACUGUUUAGUUUGUAAAAAUUACCGUUAAAUACAACUACGCUCCUACUGUAUAAAUCAAACAUUCGUACCGUUAAAAGAACGUUUUGUUACUAAACAGUAGGAACGG
rnacentral:rRNA from 1 species